UUGCUCAAACAUACAUGCUGUUUAAGAAUGUCCAUCUGAUCUCUGAAGCUAAGCAGGACAGGGCCUGGUUAGUACUUGGAUGCGAGACCGCUGGGAAUACCAGGUGGAACCAC
rnacentral:rRNA from 1 species